GAUGAACGCUGGCGGCGUGCUUAACACAUGCAAGUCGAACGAAGCUAGUUUGUUUGGAUCCCUUCGGGGUGACGAACUUAUUGACUGAGUGGCGGACGGGUGAGUAACACGUGAGCAACCUGCCUUUCAGAGGGAAUAACGUUUGGAAACGAACGCUAAUACCGCAUAACGUAUCGAAGUGGCAUCGCUUUGAUACCAAAGGAGCAAUCCGCUGAAAGAUGGGCUCGCGUCCGAUUAGAUAGUUGGUGAGGUAACGGCCCACCAAGUCGACGAUCGGUAGCCGGACUGAGAGGUUGAACGGCCACAUUGGGACUGAGACACGGCCCAGACUCCUACGGGAGGCAGCAGUGAGGGAUAUUGGUCAAUGGGGGAAACCCUGAACCAGCGACGCCGCGUAAGGGAAGACGGUUUUCGGAUUGUAAACCUCUGUCUUUGGGGACGGAUAAAUGACGGUACCCAAGGAGGAAGCCACGGCUAACUACGUG
rnacentral:rRNA from 1 species